UGCAGUCAUGUCCAAAAGUAGAAUUUUAACUGAGUGAGCAAUAUGGAGAAGAUCUGAGUGACAAUGCUUGGCAGUACAUAUUUGCUAUUGAUCUACCCUGCUGUCAUCUGAAAUGGGAUUGGACACAUGACAAUGUUAUAAGCAAAGUGCUUUGGCCUUCUAUGGAUAAAUGGGCAAAGAAGAGAAAGGGACAUGAAACUGCCCUCUCCAUUCCUGAUAGUGUUAUAGCAUUGACGCUAAGGUUAAUUGGUGUUCCCUGGGGUGUGCAGCUGGCAGCCAUAU
rnacentral:lncRNA from 1 species